GCGAGGUAGUAGUGGUAAUCAGUGGGGUAUGUUUCUAGGGUGUGCAAGGCUUUGGUCUUUCGCUCUUUGCAGUAAGUGUUGUUGCUGCUUUCUGUUUGGGUUCAUGCUGCUUUUAUGAGAUGUAACACCGUGAAGGUGUGCAGCUUCAUUCCUGAAGCCAGUGAGACCACAAACCCAUCGGGAGAAACGAGCAACUCCAGACAUGCCGCCUAAAGAGCUGUAACACUCACCGCGAAGGUCUGCAGCUUCCCUCCUGAUGUAACAAGAUCACGAACCCACCAGAAGGAAGAAACUCCGAACACAUCCGAAUAUCAGAGGGGACAAACUCUGAACACGCCGCCUUUAAGAACUGUAACAACGGGAGGGUCCGUGGCUUCAUUGUUGAAGUCAGACCAAGAACCCACCAAUUCCGGACACAGAAGCACACAUUUACAAACAACAAACAUGUUCAUUAUAAAUUGUAACAUCUAUACCUGUGCGUGAUGAAGCAACUACAGGAAAACCUCCGAUUAGUAACCAAGGUUUGCUCACUCCAGCAACUUGAAAUUGAGCAUUUUAUAGCAGCAGGUGACUUCAGAGACUGGCCAAGCAAAAACCUCAUCUAAUAGCUCUCAGGGUCUGGAAGAUAUUUGAAGAUGACUAUCUCAUGGGCACUCUCACAGGCUUUACGAAGGUUGUCUGCAUUGGGAACCUCCACUGAAGAUCCCAGUAAGUCGGCAAUGCAUCAACUUUGGGGACCACUCCCCACCAGGCUCCCACCACUGCCAUUCGUUUGCUCUGAUUCUGGCUACUGGAGUCAUGCCAUUCUCCAGGAGUUCCUGCGGAUCGAGAGCAGAAUUUAACAUUAGCCUGGAAAUCUCACACCAGAGAGUAAAGAAAUGCUCAAAGACCACAUAGUCAUGUCAAACGGACAUGAGACUUCUCGAGUUUUUGCUGGCCUCAUUUAGACAAUCUGUGCAUCAAACUAAUAAUGAAUAUGAUUGAUUAGAACAUAUUGACUGUUUUUGUUUGUUUGAGAGUCUCCCUCUGUUGCCAAGGCUGGAGUACAGUGGAGCGAUCUUGGCUCACUGCAACCUCCGCUUCCCGGGUCCAAGUGAUUCUCCUGCAUCAGCCUCCAGAGUAGCUGGACUACAGACAUGCACCACCACGCCCGGCUAAUUUUCUGUGUUUUUAGUAGAGACAGCGUUUUCCCAUAUUGGCCAGGCUGGUCUUGAACUCCUGAUCUCAAGUGAUCCACGCCUCAGCCUCCCAAAGUGGUGGGAUUACAGGUGUGUGAGCCACCGUGCCUGGCCCUGAUUAGAACAUUUCGAAUCAAUAAAUAUUCAUUAAUGAAUAAAUAGAAAACAAUGAGAAUGCGGGGGGAAAAGCAGCUCUUCUUUACUGAAAAACGUCAUCUGAUAAAUACACAGGCGUAGAAUUAGAAAAUUACCAUUUUGAACCUUCAGUGUAUCAACUGAUUCAGACCAAGAAGCAACCAUAGAGCUGUGCCAAAUGGAUACAUCUACUAAGAGACUAAGGAAGACACAGACCUAGUCAGUCUGGCUCCAAAGCUCAGACUCAUAUAUGUCAAUAGUUCUUAAAUCACAUGGGGUCGCUAGAGGAGGGCCAGGGACCUGGGUCCUUUCGAAAGUUUCUCAGAUAUGGCUGAGUGCGGCGGCUCACACCUGUAAUCCCAACACUUUGGGAGGCCGAGGCAGGUAGCUCAUUUGAACCCAGGAGUUCCAGUCCAGCCUGGGCAGCAUGGAGAAACCCCAUCUCUACAAAAAAAAAAAAAUACAAAAAAUUAGCUGGGUGAGGUGGUGCACGACUGUAGUCCCAGCUGCUCGGGAGGCUGAGGUGGGAGGGUCACUUCAGUCCAGGGAGUCGAGGCUGCAGUGAGCCAUGAUUGCACCACUGCACUCCAGCCUGGCUGACAGAGUAAGACCCCAUCUUAAAAUAAUAAUAAUGACAAUAAUAAUAAUUCCCAG
rnacentral:lncRNA from 10 species